rnacentral:rRNA from 1 species
UACGGAGGAUCCGAGCGUUAUCCGGAUUUAUUGGGUUUAAAGGGUGCGCGGGCGGGGGAUUAAGUCGGCGGUGAAAUUUUGCAGCUCAACUGUAAAAGUGCCUUCGAAACUGGUUUCCUUGAGUGUAGAUGAAGUAGGCGGAAUUUGUGGUGUAGCGGUGAAAUGCAUAGAUAUCACGAGGAACUCCGAUUGCGCAGGCAGCUUACUAAACUACUACUGACGCUCAUGCACGAAGGCGUGGGGAUCAAACAGGAUUAGAUACCCUCGUAGU